rnacentral:rRNA from 1 species
UGGGGAAUAUUGGACAAUGGGGGCAACCCUGAUCCAGCCAUGCCGCGUGUGUGAAGAAGGCCUUUUGGUUGUAAAGCACUUUAAGCAGGGAGGAGAGGCUAAUGGUUAAUACCCAUUAGAUUAGACGUUACCUGCAGAAUAAGCACCGGCUAACUCUGUGCCAGCAGCCGCGGUAAUACAGAGGGUGCGAGCGUUAAUCGGAAUUACUGGGCGUAAAGCGAGUGUAGGUGGCUCAUUAAGUCACAUGUGAAAUCCCCGGGCUUAACCUGGGAACUGCAUGUGAUACUGGUGGUGCUAGAAUAUGUGAGAGGGAAGUAGAAUUCCCAGGUGUAGCGGUGAAAUGCGUAGAGAUCUGGAGGAAUACCGAUGGCGAAGGCAGCUUCCUGGCAUAAUAUUGACACUGAGAUUCGAAAGCGUGGGUAGCAAACAGGAUUAGAUACCCUGGUAGUCCACGCCGUAAAACGAUGUCUACUAGCCGUUGGGGUCCUUGAGACUUUAGUGGCGCAGUUAACGCGAUAAGUAGACCGCCUGGGGAG